GAUGAAGAACGCAGUGAAAUGCGAUAAGUAAUGAGAAUUGCAGAAUUCAGUGAAUCAUCGAAUCUUUGAACGCACAUUGCGCCCGCCAGUAUUCUGGCGAGCAUGCCUGUUCGAGCGUCAUUUCAACCAUCAAGCCCCAGGCUUGUGUUGGAGCCCUGCGGCUGCCGCAGCCUCCCAAAACCAGUGGCGGGCUCGCUAUCACACCGAGUGCAGUAGUUUACUCUUCGCUCAGGGCGUGUGGCGGGUGCUAGCCGUGAAACCCCCAACUUCUCAAGGUUGACCUCGGAUCAGGUAGGAAUACCCGCUGAACUUAAGCAUAUCAAUAAGCGGAGGA
rnacentral:misc_RNA from 1 species